ensembl:lncRNA
GUAAAGUGUAUUGAAUAUAUUGCUAUAUUGUCCUUAUGAAUGGUAAUGAUAUCAAAAGAACAUUUAAGGAACAGGAAGGAUAAAGGAAUAUGAAGUGUCCUAUAAUGAACAAAAUGACAGAAGUUGAAAGAAGUAGUGUCUGGGCCAAGGUAUAAGUGUAAGAAUGUGCCUAAAGGCUGACAGGGGGGGAGGUGAGAAGAAAUAGAUGUUACAGUAUACAUGGGCCUAUUAUGGAAUACAAAACCAGUACCAAGCAUAAAGAAAAAUGAAGAGCGCACCUGCAUCAGUGAAUAAGGAAGAGACAUCGAUGCCAUCUAUCUGGACUUCAGCAAGGCCUGUGACAUGGUCCCCCAUAACAUCCUUCUCUCCAAAUUGGAAGGAUGUGGAUUUGCUGGGUGGACUGUUCAACAGACAAGGAACUGGUUACAAGAACAUAUCCAGAAAGUGGUGGCUCAGUAUCUG